GAUAAUGAAAGAAAACUGCUGCAUCUUCCGGGCCAUCAACAUAAUAACGGGGUUGUGGGGAUGGUGAAUGAUAAGUAAUUGAGUCGAGAUUAAUAGUUUUUUAUUAUUGAUUUGCUUCCAGAACGUUGAGCAAAGCCUUCGGCUAAUUGCCGAGGUGGAACGACGGCCUGCUUUAUGGCAAAAGCGGUCGGAGUUUUACAAGAACGGAAUUCGGCGUAGGGAUGCGUGGACCGAGAUUGGUGGAAUCUUGGAACUUACCGUCGAAGAGGCCAGUUACCAGUGGAGGAAGCUGCUGACCAGCUACCGGACGUAUAAGUCCAAGCUGCGUAAAAGUCAGCAAAGCGGAGCAGCGGCUGAGGACGUUUUUCGGCCAAGAUGGUUCGCCUUCGACGCAAUGAAGUUCCUUGACGAUACCAUGAAGGACGGCACGCAUCUCGAUACGUUCGAUGACGACCUAGAACAACACACCUCCACCCAAACCCACCCAAUCCCUUCUUGUUCCUAUUCCUCAAUUCCGCCGCAACCAACAAUCCCAGCACCAACCCCAGCACCAAUCCCAGCACCAACCCCAGCACCAAUCCCAGCACCAACCCCAGCACCAAGCCCAGCACCAACCUCAGCGAUGGAAAAUUAUUUCUCCAUGUUUGGCCAGUGGGUGGGGGCAUGGUUAAACCAUUUACCACGCGAGCAACAGAACGAUGCCACAAAUCGUUUGCGGCAGACGAUGCUGGAGUGGGAUCUCCAAUAUAAUAAAAAAUAAUAAAAAUAUUUACAAAACCAUA